AAAUUGAAGAGUUUGAUCAUGGCUCAGAUUGAACGCUGGCGGCAGGCCUAACACAUGCAAGUCGAACGGUAGCACAGAGAGCUUGCUCUCGGGUGACGAGUGGCGGACGGGUGAGUAAUGUCUGGGAAACUGCCUGAUGGAGGGGGAUAACUACUGGAAACGGUGGCUAAUACCGCAUAAUGUCGCAAGACCAAAGAGGGGGACCUUCGGGCCU
rnacentral:rRNA from 1 species